rnacentral:ncRNA from 1 species
AGAACUUACAUUCCGAGGUAUCAAAUGAAGGAGUAACGCCCUGAAGGGUCCCAUUAAUCCUCCGAAUAGCGUCGGAUUUGCAAGAAUGAAGAUGUUAUGAGCUCGGUGAAGUCGGCUGAGAGUUGCCCUAAGUAAGAGCAAUCUUACAGGAACAAUGUCCAGAGGUGGAUGUCGCAACCUAUAGGUCGGAUGUCUAUAAA